rnacentral:rRNA from 1 species
CCUUGUGGGAAGCAGGGAGGACCACCUCCCAAGGCUAAAUACUACCUGAUGACCGAUAGUGAAGCAGUACCGUGAGGGAAAGGUGAAAAGAACCCCGGGAGGGGAGUGAAAUAGAACCUGAAACCGUGUGCCUACAACCGCUCAGAGCCCCUUAUGAGGGUGAUGAGGUGCUUUUUGUAGAACGAGCCAACGAGUUACGGUAUGUAGCAAGGUUAAGUACUUAAGGUACGGAGCCGAAGGGAAACCGAGUCUGAAUAGGGCGACUAGUUGCAUGCCGUAGACCCGAAACCGGGUGACCUAUCCAUGGCCAGGUUGAAGCGAGGGUAAAACCUCGUGGAGGACCGAACCACGUUGCUGUUGAAAAAGCAUGGGAUGAGCUGUGGAUAGCGGAGAAAUUCCAAUCGAACCCGGAGAUAGCUGGUUCUCUCCGAAAUAGCUUUAGGGCUAGCGUCGAGUAUGAGUAGUGGAGGUAGAGCACUGAAUGGGCUAGGGGGCAUAGCGCUUACCGAACCUUAUCAAACUCCGAAUGCCACAUACUUUGAGCUCGGCAGUCAGACUACGAAUGAUAAGAUCCGUGGUCAAAAGGGAAACAGCCCAGAUCGUCAGCUAAGGUCCCAAAGUGUAAGUUAAGUGGGAAAGGAUGUGAGAUUUCUAAGACAACUAGGAUGUUGGCUUAGAAGCAGCCAUUCAUUAAAAGAGUGCGUAAUAGCUCACUAGUCGAGAGAUCUUGCGCCGAAAAUGUAACGGGGCUAAACUUACC